GGAAAUGGGGGCAASCCUGAUCCAGCCAUGCCGCGUGUGUGAAGAAGGCCUUCGGGUUGUAAAGCACUUUCGGCCGGAACGAAAUCGCGCGGGCGAAUACCCCGCGUGGAUGACGGUACCGGAAGAAGAAGCACCGGCUAACUACGUGCCAGCAGCCGCGGUAAUACGUAGGGUGCGAGCGUUAAUCGGAAUUACUGGGCGUAAAGUGUGCGCAGGUGGCCGCGCAUGUCGAGUGUGAAAUCCCCGGGCUUAACUUGGGAAUUGCGCUCGAAACUACGUGGCUAGAGUGUGGCAGANGAAGGUGGAAUUCCACGUGUAGCGGUGAAAUGCGUAGAGAUGUGGAGGAACACCGAUGGCGAAGGCAGCCUUCUGGGCCAACACUGACGCUCAUGCACGAAAGCGUGGGGAGCAAACAGGAUUAGAUACCCUGGUAGUCCACGCCCUAAACGAUGAUGACUAGUUGUUGGGGGAGUUAAAUCCCUUAGUAACGCAGCUAACGCGUGAAGUCAUCCGCCUGGGGAGUACGGUCGCAAGAUUAAAACUCA
rnacentral:rRNA from 1 species